rnacentral:rRNA from 1 species
UAAGGUUUAACCUGCCCACUGAAUAAUUUUAAAUGGCCGCAGUAUUUUAACUGUGCAAAGGUAGCAUAAUCAUUAGUUUUUUAAUUAAAAGCUUGUAUGAAAGGUUGGACGAGGUAGAAACUGUCUUUAUUUAAUUAAUUAUAAAAUUUAAUUUUUAAGUUAAAAAGCUUAAAUUUUUUUAAAAGACGAGAAGACCCUAUAGAUCUUUAUAUUUAUUAUUUUAUUUUUAAUUAAGAUUUAUUUAAAUUUUAUUAUAUUAAAUAUUUUAUUGGGGUAAUAAGAAGAUUAAAAAAAUUCUUUUAUAUAUUUUUCAUUGAUUAAUGUUUUAAUGAUCCAAUUUUAUUGAUUAUAAGAUUAAGUUACCUUAGGGAUAACAGCGUAAUUUUUUUAGAGAGUUCAUAUCGAUAAGAAAGUUUGCGACCUCGAUGUUGGAUUAAAGAUUAAUUUAGGUGUAGAUGUUUAAAUUUUUGGUCUGUUCGACCAUUAAAUCUUUACAUGAUCUGAGUUCAGACCGGUGUAAGCCAGGUCGGUUUCUAUCUUUAAAAAUAUAAUAUAUUUUAGUACGAAAGGACCAAAUAUAUAAUAUAUAAAUAUUUAUUAAUUUUUGAAUAUUAUUAAUUGCUUUGGCAGAUUAGUGCAAUGAAUUUAGAAUUCAUAUAUGUAAAUUUUUACAAGUAAUACUUGUUUUAUAUAGAUGUAAUAUUUUCUUUUAUUUGUAUAUUAUUAUUAGUUAUUUGUGUAUUA